GAAUCAUGGCAAGCUCUCUUCUCUUUUCUCUUCUUCAUCGUGAUAAAAAAUUUACAUUUAAAUGUAAUGCAUAUUAUUGGAGGCAAUGAUAUUGAUAGGUCCUAACUCCUAAUGUUAUUAUUGUCUUUAGGGCCAACUAGUAGAAGAAACUAAGUUAAUAGAGAGUGUGUGUGUGACUCUUUAGGUUGUUUUCUCUGCCUUGAAC